CCUACGGGCGGCAGCAGUGAGGAAUAUUGGUCAAUGGACGAGAGUCUGAACCAGCCAAGUAGCGUGAAGGAUGACUGCCCUAUGGGUUGUAAACUUCUUUUAUAAAGGAACAAAACGCGGCACGUGUGCCUCUUUGCAUGUACUUUAUGAAUAAGGAUCGGCUAACUCCGUGCCAGCAGCCGCGGUAAUACGGAGGAUCCGAGCGUUAUCCGGAUUUAUUGGGUUUAAAGGGUGCGUAGGCGGUUUUCUAAGUUAGUGGUAAAACGUCGGGGCUUCACCUUGAUUUGCCAUUAAUACUGUAAGACUCGAGUGCGGACAGGGUAGGCGGAAUGAGUGAAGUAGCGGUGAAAUGCUUAGAUAUAACGUAGAACUCCGAUAGCGAAGGCAGCUUACCAGACUGCAACUGACGCUGAGGCUCGAAAGCGUGGGGAGCGAACAGGAUUAGAUACCCUGGUAGUC
rnacentral:rRNA from 1 species